rnacentral:rRNA from 1 species
CUACGGGGGGCAGCAGUGGGGAAUAUUGCACAAUGGGCGCAAGCCUGAUGCAGCCAUGCCGCGUGUAUGAAGAAGGCCUUCGGGUUGUAAAGUACUUUCAGUAAGGAGGAAGGUAGAGUAGUUAAUAGCUGCUUUAUUUGACGUCACUUACAGAAGAAGCACCGGCGAACUCCGUGCCAGCAGCCGCGGUAAUACGGAGGGUGCGAGUGUUAAUCGGAAUUACUGGUGCGUAAAGCGCAUGCAGGUGGUUUGUUAAGUCAGAUGUGAAAGCCCUGGGCUCAACCCGGGAAUUGCAUUUGAAACUGGCAAGCUAGAGUACUGUAGAGGGGGGUAGAAUUUCAGGUGUAGCGGUGAAAUGCGUAGAGAUCUGAAGGAAUACCGGUGGCGAAGGCGGCCCCCUGGACAGAUACUGACACUCAGAUGCGAAAGCGUGGGGAGCAAACAGGAUUAGAUACCCUGGUAGUC